rnacentral:rRNA from 1 species
UACGGGGGGGGCAAGCGUUGUUCGGAAUUACUGGGCGUAAAGGGCGCGUAGGCGGCAUGACAAGUCGCUUGUGAAAUCUCCGGGCUUAACUCGGAACGGCCAAGUGAUACUGUCGCGCUAGAGUGCGGAAGGGGCAAUCAGAAUUCUUGGUGUAGCGGUGAAAUGCGUAGAUAUCAAGAGGAAUACCUGAGGUGAAGACGGGUUGCUAGGCCGACACUGACGCUGAGUGCGCGAAAGCCAGGGGAGCAAACGGG